GCCCGACUAGCACAAUUGGCUAGUGCGUCAGACUUUUAAGAAAUAUGCUUAAAAUUCUAUCUGAAGGCUGCGGGUUCGAGUCCCGCGUUGGGCU